rnacentral:tRNA from 1 species
GCCCGGGUGGUGGAAUUGGUAGACACGCAGGACUUAAAAUCCUGUGGCCACUGCGGCCGUGCGGGUUCAAGUCCCGCCCCGGGUA